rnacentral:rRNA from 1 species
ACACAUGCAAGUCGAACGGCAGCAUGAUCUAGCUUGCUAGAUUGAUGGCGAGUGGCGAACGGGUGAGUAAUACAUCGGAACGUGCCCUGUAGUGGGGGAUAACUAGUCGAAAGAUUAGCUAAUACCGCAUACGACCUGAGGGUGAAAGUGGGGGACCGCAAGGCCUCAUGCUAUAGGAGCGGCCGAUGUCUGAUUAGCUAGUUGGUGAGGUAAAGGCUCACCAAGGCGACGAUCAGUAGCUGGUCUGAGAGGACGAUCAGCCACACUGGGACUGAGACACGGCCCAGACUCCUACGGGAGGCAGCAGUGGGGAAUUUUGGACAAUGGGCGAAAGCCUGAUCCAGCAAUGCCGCGUGUGUGAAGAAGGCCUUCGGGUUGUAAAGCACUUUUGUCCGGAAAGAAAUGGCUCUGGUUAAUACCUGGGGUCGAUGACGGUACCGGAAGAAUAAGGACCGGCUAACUACGUGCCA